GACGAACGCUGGCGGCGUGCCUAAUACAUGCAAGUCCAACGCAGUGGGGACGGGUGAGUAACACGUGGGUAACCUCCCAUCAGAGGGGAUAACAUUUGGAAACAGGUGCUAAACUGAUAUUGAUGGAUGGUCCCGCGGUGCAUUAGCUAGUUGGUGAGGUAACGGCUCACCAAGGCCACGAUGCAUAGACGACCUGCGAGGAUGAGCGGCCACACGUGGACUGAGACACGGCCCAGACUCAUACGGGAGGCAGCAGUAGGGAAUCUUCGGCAAUGGACGAAAGUCGGACCGAGCAACGCCGCGUGAGUGAAGAAGGUUUUCGGAUCGUAAAACUCUGUUGUUAGAGAAGCGGUAUCUAACCAGAAAGCCACGGCUAACUACGUGCCAGCAGCCGCGGUAAUAC
rnacentral:rRNA from 1 species